CAGCCGCCACGGUAAAACGUAGGUGGCAAGCGUUGUCCGGAAUUAUUGGGCGCAAAGCGCGCGCAGGCGGAUCAGUCAGUCUGUCUUAAAAGUUCGGGGCUUAACCCCGUGAUGGGAUGGAAACUGCUGAUCUAGAGUAUCGGAGAGGAAAGUGGAAUUCCUAGUGUAGCGGUGAAAUGCGUAGAUAUUAGGAAGAACACCAGUGGCGAAGGCGGCUUUCUGGACGAAAACUGACGCUGAGGCGCGAAAGCCAGGGGAGCGAACGGGAUUAGAUACCCCAGUAGUCCCUGUCUCUUAUACA
rnacentral:rRNA from 1 species